AGAUAUUUCUUGUGAGAGCGUUUCUGAAAUAGGAAACCGCCGAAGAUGCAAACCAGGUAACGGUCAAUUAACUGGUGAAACUUUCAGGCAAAAGGAGUGAGAAAUGGAC
rnacentral:ncRNA from 2 species